GUUGGUGUAGCUCACUGGUAGAGUGCAUGCUUUGUGUGAUGUCCUGGGUUCCAUCCCCAGCUUCUCCC